rnacentral:rRNA from 1 species
GCUUAACCGAAGAAGUGCAUCGGAAACUGGGUGACUUGAGUGCAGAAGAGGACAGUGGAACUCCAUGUGUAGCGGUGGAAUGCGUAGAUAUAUGGAAGAACACCAGUGGCGAAGGCGGCUGUCUGGUCUGCAACUGACGCUGAGGCUCGAAAGCAUGGGUAGCGAACAGGAUUAGAUACCCUGGUAGUCCAUGCCGUAAACGAUGAGUACUAGGUGUUGAGGGUUUCCGCCCUUCAGUGCCGGAGCUAACGCAUUAAGCACUCCGCCUGGGGAGUACGACCGCAAGGUUGAAACUCAAAGGAAUUGACGGGGGCCCGCACAAGCGGUGGAGCAUGUGGUUUAAUUCGAAGCUACGCGAAGAACCUUACCAGGUCUUGACAUCUUGCGCUAACCUAAGAGAUUAGGCGUUCCCUUCGGGGACGCAAUGACAGGUGGUGCAUGGUCGUCGUCAGCUCGUGUCGUGAGAUGUUGGGUUAAGUCCCGCAACGGGCGCAACCCUUGUUACUAGUUGCCAGCAUUCAGUUGGGCACUCUAGUGAGACUGCCGGUGACAAACCGGAGGAAGGUGGGGACGACGUCAGAUCAUCAUGCCCCUUAUGACCUGGGCUACACACGUGCUACAAUGGUCGGUACAACG